AGGAACCUAUUCUAGAGAAAGAAGUUACUGAGAAUUGAGCAAGAACAGCUUGAGGAUUGUAUCCUAGGGAACGAAGAAUAUCAAGCCAAAGAGAUGACUAUGUAAAUUGAACAUUUAUCUAAUACUCUUAUUCCUACUAAAUUGAGCCUUUCAACUGUAGUUGUGACUGAUUUUACAUGUUCAGAUGUUUUCAAGGAUGUGAAAGAAAGUAUGAAGUUCUUCUUUUCAAUCUUAUUGGUAGUUUGCUACCAUCCAAGAAGAUAAGGCUACUGUUCUCCAAAUUCAGCUCUUGAU
rnacentral:misc_RNA from 1 species